UACGGAGGGUGCAAGCGUUGUCCGGAAUCACUGGGCGUAAAGGGUGCGUAGGUGGCGCUGUAAGUCGGGUGUGAAAUUCGGAGCUUAACUCCGAAACUGCAUUCGAUACUGCGGUGCUUGAGGACUGGAGAGGAGACUGGAAUUCAUGGUGUAGCAGUGAAAUGCGUAGAGAUCAUGAGGAAGACCAGUGGCGAAGGCGGGUCUCUGGACAGUUCCUGACACUGAGGCACGAAGGCCAGGGGAGCAAACGGG
rnacentral:rRNA from 1 species